rnacentral:rRNA from 1 species
UACGUAGGGUGCGAGCGUUAAUCGGAAUUACUGGGCGUAAAGCGUGCGCAGGCGGUUCGUUGUGUCGGCGGUGAAAGCCCCGGGCUUAACCUGGGAAUGGCCGUUGAAACUGGCGAACUGGAGUGUGGCAGAGGGGGGUGGAAUUCCGCGUGUAGCAGUGAAAUGCGUAGAGAUGCGGAGGAACACCGAUGGCGAAGGCGGCUCACUGGCCCGGUACUGACGCUGAGGUGCGAAAGCGUGGGGAGCAAACAGG